rnacentral:rRNA from 1 species
GACAGAGGGUGCAAACGUUGUUCGGAAUUACUGGGCGUAAAGCGCGUGUAGGCUGUUCGGCAAGUCGGAUGUGAAAGCCCUGGGCUUAACCCAGGAAGUGCAUUCGAAACUGCAGAGCUGGAGUCCUGGAGAGGAAGGCGGAAUUCUCGGUGUAGAGGUGAAAUUCGUAGAUAUCGAGAGGAACACCGGUGGCGAGGGCGGCCUUCUGGACAGCGACUGACGCUGAGACGCGAAAGCGUGGGGAGCAAACAGG